rnacentral:rRNA from 1 species
UACGAAGGGGGCUAGCGUUAUCCGGAAUGAUUGGGCGUAAAGCGUCUGUAGGUGGCUUUUUAAGUCCGCCGUCAAAUCCCAGGGCUCAACCCUGGACAGGCGGUGGAAACUACCAAGCUGGAGUACGGUAGGGGCAGAGGGAAUUUCCGGUGGAGCGGUGAAAUGCGUAGAUAUCGCUUGGAACGCCGACGGUGAAAACAGCUCGCUGGGGGUCAUCUGACGCUGAGACACGAAAGCCAGGGGAGCGAACGGG